AUGGGCAAGGACUACUACCAGACGCUGGGCCUGGCCCUGGCGUCCGACAACGAGAUCAAAGCGGGCCUACCAUGCCGCGGUACCACCGGACAAGAACAAGGAGCCCGGCGCCCGAGAGAAGUUCAAGGAGAUGCGAGGCCUAUAGCGUGCUCAGCGACCAGCAUAGCGCGAGAUUUUCGACCCGCUAUGGAAGGAAGGCCUGAAGGGUAGUGGCCCCCAGUGGCGGGAGCAGUGGUGGUGCUAAUGGUACUUUCAGCUACACAUUCCAUGGAGACCCUCAUGCUAUGUUUGCUGAGUUCUUCGGUGGCAGGAAUCCCUUUGAUAGCUUUUUUGGGCAGCGCAACUGGGAAGAAGGCAUGGACAUCGAUGACCCGUUCUCUAGCUUUCCGAUGGGUAUGGGCGGCUUCACCAAUAUGAACUUUGGACGUUCCCGCCCUACUCAAGAGCCCACCCGGAAGAAGCAAGAUCCCCCAGUCACCCACGACCUUCGGGUCUCCCUUGAAGAAAUCUACAGCGGCUGUACCAAGAAGAUGAAAAUCUCCCACAAGCGGCUGAACCCUGAUGGAAAGAGCAUUCGAAAUGAAGAUAAGAUCCUGACCAUCGAAGUGAAGAGGGGCUGGAAAGAAGGGACCAAAAUCACCUUUCCCAAGGAAGGGGACCAGACCUCGAACAACAUUCCAGCUGACAUCGUCUUUGUUUUAAAGGACAAGCCACACAAUAUCUUCAAGAGAGAUGGUUCUGAUGUCAUUUAUCCAGCCAGGGUUAGCCUUCGGGAGGCUCUCUGUGGUUGCACUGUGAAUGUUCCUACUCUGGACGGCAGGACCAUUCCUGUUGUAUUCAAAGAUGUCAUCAGGCCUGGUAUGCGGAGGAAAGUUCCUGGAGAAGGCCUCCCCUUCCCCAAAGCACCUGAGAAACAUGGAGACCUUGUUAUCGAAUUUGAAGUCAUCUUCCCUGAUAGGAUCCCCAUCUCAUCCAGAACCAUCCUGGAGCAGGUUCUUCCCAUAUAGCUGCCUGCAUUCCUCAAGGACUGAGCCAGGGACCUUUCCAGAGCUGCAGAUUUCCAGACCGUUCCACUGGUUGCAUACUGCGGGAGGGCCCAGGGAGGGCUUUUGCUCUGCCGAAUGUUUUCCACAGAAUAUAUUACAAUCUUUCAAAGUUGC